ACAACAGUCAAAGCGGGAUGAAAAGACUAUUUUCUUGUUUUAUUAAUUUACCGAAUUUACCGACAUGGUCAAAAUUACGUCGGUCAUCGUGAAGAAUUUCGGUGACGGUAAAUUUUCGGUUUACCGCCCAGCUCUACUGGAAAUGAACUGCCGUCUGCAAAGACCAAAGUAGAUCCGCAGAAUUGCUUGAUGUUCGGCUUCAAUUGAACACGACCUGAGAUGAUCUGAGCCGGGGGUACUGUACAGCCACCUUGAAGCGGAUGUGCGGUAGAAGACCGAAGUUCUGCGCGUAGAGUCGCAGGUAGAGCAGCACCUCGGAGUGAUGCAUGUUGUUGGGGAGCUGCGCGGGAGGUGGGAAGUCACUGAAGGCCAUUCUUUCCUUGGAGGUGUUGAGUACCACCGUCUCGUAAAUGUUAGCCCGUCCGGGCUCUGGUUCCUCCUGUUGUGCGUCGAUAAGAAGCUGUUGCAUGUUUCAGUCAAAAUGUGUGUGGUCUGUUGAGCAAACCUUGAAUCUCCAUAGACCGCCGAUGUCCGGGCCGCUCUCAAAACAAGUGGGCUCCAGCCCUUCCUCCAAGCAGGACUUGAUGCUGGUCAAGCCUGAAAUCCCUGCGCCAAUCACGGCUACCUUCUGAACCAUGCUGGAGACAAAAUCAAUGCGUUGUCAGGUGCAGAACAGGUUUUGACUUUUUACAACCUGGCGGGAUGUGCUGCAUUCCAUUCACGAUAAUGAGUAAGUGUUGCAGCACGAAGAGUAAUACUGUACAAUACUGUACUUUACACAGUUUUUAAAUGGAAAUCUUGAUUUUUUUUUUUAACUUGCCAAAGCCAUAAUUCGGAAGUGACCCAUAAAUUCACCCAAAUUAACUGGAAGUGACCCGUAAUGUUAGGCCCUCUGCCCCUCCCUCCUGAGUCCUGACCCACCUUGGGCAGGUGCAACUGUUUUUAUCUGAUUACAGGUUGGGACGUUUGACGGGUGGAGUGGCCACAGGUGGCAAUAACAAUCUGCCUUCUUUAAAAGCCAGUGGAUGCCACCACCUCGUCGCCCGAUCAACUCGUCUGAUUACCUCAGACCUGUCUUAUGUGCGGCGAUUGUCGGAUUCCACGCCUGCGUCCUUCCGAGCUAGCCGAACCUUGCCUAUACGCUGACUAUGCAGCUACUUAGGUCCACCACUAGGGGCCCCCCAAUCUGGCAACCUCAUUUUAUACGUUGUUAAUAGAGCAUCGUGAAUGCGAGCAUCGGCAAUGCGCGCAUGUUGCCGUUUAUCUAUGCAAACAUCCAUUUUCUUGUCAUUACAAUCUGGCAACUUGGGGAUUGACGUUGAACCUGCUUUGCGAUGAUUGGUGCUCAAACUUGCUUGGAAACUAGAUGCAUGAAUAUGUCGAAGAGAAUUUAUCCUUCUGGAGCAGAGAAACGAAAGAAGAAGAAAAUCGGAGAAGAAAAGAACAGUAUCAAGGUAAUAGAGCAUGUUGUUGAUGUUGUUGUUGUGCAAGACACUUAGACUUGAACGUUGUUGUCAGCUGAGCUUUUCAAUAUGUCAUACUCAGGGGUGAAAGUGGCUAGAAUUUCUUGCCGGAACUCCCCGAUGUGAAGGUCGCCAUGAAGCCAGAAAUCUUAUUUAUUUAUUUAUUUUUUUAAAUGUAUUUUUAUUGUACUUUUUGCAUAAGUACAAAUGACUUAUGCAGAGUGAAAUGGAAUAUAUUUUGAAGAUCGUGCAAACAUUAACUUUUUUAAAUCAUAAGGAAAUGAAUAAGUAGCCUAACAUAAAUGAACAAAUAUAAGUCCAAAGUGCACAUUGACAGCUAAAAUGUUCUGAACCUCCACAUCAGAGUAAAUAAAACUAAAUACGAUUAAUAAGCCUCCUCAAGUCUUUCGUUGCUCUUAAAAAUGUGAUCCAUUUUAUGUUGAAUUGCCCUUUUUUUGUCACUUUUUUUUUUUUUGCUGUUACAGAAAACAUGCACAUUUGAACCAAUCAGAGCUAACCAUCUCUGCUGAUCAUAUGUCAGUGUGUCAGCCAAUUGAACGGAUAAAUGAGUCCAGGCGUUUUGCUUUGCUGCGUGCAUUCGCACAUUGACGUGACUCAUCAUCGUCAGACUCAGAUAAUAACUGCAGCAGCUGGGGAAACCUCCAUGCUGUCCGUGGAAUAAAAUCAAUAAUAAAUAUUGGCUGGCAACCAGUUCAGGGUGUCCCCUGCCUACUGCCCAUAGUUAGCUGAGAUAGGCUCCAGCACCUCCGCGACCCUCGUGAGGUAAAAGCGGCAUGGAAAAUGAAUGAGUUGCUCUUACUCAAUAAAUUUAAGUACCACUUUGCAUCAACUUUUGAGUUGAGAAAUUAAAAUGAAGGAGUUAUAGCAACCUAAAUGAAGUAGUUUUAUUUCUUAUUAAUGCUAAAACUUGGACUUAAAAAUUG